rnacentral:tRNA from 1 species
UGACUGAACAAUCACCAUUUAUAUUAUCUUUAUUUUUAUAUAUUAAUUUGACUGAAAAAGCAUUUGU